rnacentral:lncRNA from 1 species
AUGGACAGGAACGGGACCUGGAAGCACACCGACAGCCGGACAAUGAGCCACAGGGAAGUGAGGCCUACAGACCUGAGGCCUAAGAAGCAGAGACUCCACGUCACCAGGCCCAGGACAAACCACAUGGCGCAAUCCUUCCACAACAAGGCUAAAGAACAGACGCCAUACCACCCCAUUAAGUCCAGUGUCUGUGAUCCCGGAGGGGAAAUUUACCAACCACAGGCAACGAAUCGUAAACAGGGCUUACAGGUACGACAGGCCAGGGACUUAACAAAUGUGGCAACACUCACCACAGGUGACAUUGACCAGCUUUCCCCAUCCUCUGCUGACCUCUGUCCUCCAGGUCACUCAGCCGUGCCAUCCGCCCCCCUGCCAGGGAGCCAGCCGCCCAGACACCUUGAUCGGUCCAGGCUAAAAUUAAAAAACAAAGAGGUGGGAGGAAAAAGGACGAGAAAAUGGAAAAACAUCCAAGUUGAACAAACUGGACAAAUCCACUCUGAUACCUCCAAAAACACCUCGGUAGCAGUGCGGCUGGAGUCCUCACGGCAGGGGCACUUUGGGCGGGCUGAGGACGAGGAAUGGGAGGAUUUUACGUCAGGCAGUGAGAGAGAACAGAACCGUACCUUAUUGUUUUUUCCCACCAGCCACAAGGCCCGGCCUUCACGCAAGCUGGAGGACUGGCACAUUAGGGGUAAAAAACCUGUACUGAUAUUGGGGGACUCGAACCUUAACAGGAUCCUUGAGUUUAUGCACCCAGAGGUACAAAUCGACAGCUACCCUGGUGCCAAUUUCUACCACUUUUGGAAAGUGGUACAGAAAACUCCAGCACACCCCUCUGUCAAGGUUGUGGUCUUCUCAGUGGGACUCAAUAAUAGGGACCAGGACCCUCAGAAAACAUCAAUAAAACAACUUAGGGCGCUGUACAGGGCAUCCAGAGUCGCAUUUCCAAAUGCCAGCAUCUUUUUCCCCCUCAUUAAUUACUCACCAUCCCUCACACAGAUACAGAAACAGAACCUGGACACCAUUAAUACGUAUAUUACUAACUACUUACCUUCAUUGCCUAGAAUCCCACAGGACCGGUUCAGAACCAGAGCAGAUAACAUCCAUUGGACCACGGCCACGGCACACAGCAUCUUCGACCUCUGGUGUCAAAAGCUGAGCUUAAAUUUACAGUAG